rnacentral:rRNA from 1 species
UGCAAGUCGAGCGGAUGAGAGGAGCUUGCUCCUCGAUUUAGCGGCGGACGGGUGAGUAAUGCCUAGGAAUCUGCCUAGUAGUGGGGGACAACGUUUCGAAAGGAACGCUAAUACCGCAUACGUCCUACGGGAGAAAGUGGGGGAUCUUCGGACCUCACGCUAUUAGAUGAGCCUAGGUCGGAUUAGCUAGUUGGUAGGGUAAAGGCCUACCAAGGCGACGAUCCGUAACUGGUCUGAGAGGAUGAUCAGUCACACUGGAACUGAGACACGGUCCAGACUCCUACGGGAGGCAGCAGUGGGGAAUAUUGGACAAUGGGCGAAAGCCUGAUCCAGCCAUGCCGCGUGUGUGAAGAAGGCCCUCGGGUCGUAAAGCACUUUAAGUUGGGAGGAAGGGCUUACAGCGAAUACCUGUGAGUUUUGACGUUACCGACAGAAUAAGCACCGGCUAACUUCGUGCCAGCAGCCGCGGUAAUACGAAGGGUGCAAGCGUUAAUCGGAAUUACUGGGCGUAAAGCGCGCGUAGGUGGCUUGAUAAGUUGGAUGUGAAAUCCCCGGGCUCAACCUGGGAACUGCAUCCAAAACUGUCUGGCUAGAGUGUGGUAGAGGGUAGUGGAAUUUCCAGUGUAGCGGUGAAAUGCGUAGAUAUUGGAAGGAACACCAGUGGCGAAGGCGACUACCUGGACUAACACUGACACUGAGGUGCGAAAGCGUGGGGAGCAAACAGGAUUAGAUACCCUGGUAGUCCACGCCGUAAACGAUGUCAACUAGCCGUUGGGAUCCUUGAGAUCUUAGUGGCGCAGCUAACGCAUUAAGUUGACCGCCUGGGGAGUACGGCCGCAAGGUUAAAACUCAAAUGAAUUGAC